ACACCAUCAAGCCUGGCUUGGUCUUGGACGCGGUCGAGUGACCCGUCCGUAACCCGUUGGCGGUACAGUCCGGCUUCAAGCGUAGCAAAAAUUUCGCUUCAGGAGUCCGCGGCGGUGCCCGCCAGGUAACAACUUCCUAAA
rnacentral:misc_RNA from 1 species